AACGAACGCUGGCGGCAUGCCUAACACAUGCAAGUCGAACGAGACCUUCGGGUCUAGUGGCGCACGGGUGCGUAACGCGUGGGAACCUGCCUUUAGGUUCGGAAUAACUCAGAGAAAUUUGAGCUAAUACCGGAUGAUGUCUUCGGACCAAAGAUUUAUCGCCUUUAGAUGGGCCCGCGUUGGAUUAGCUAGUUGGUGGGGUAAAGGCCUACCAAGGCGACGAUCCAUAGCUGGUCUGAGAGGAUGAUCAGCCACACUGGGACUGAGACACGGCCCAGACUCCUACGGGAGGCAGCAGUGGGGAAUAUUGGACAAUGGGCGAAAGCCUGAUCCAGCAAUGCCGCGUGAGUGAUAAAGGCCUUAGGGUUGUAAAGCUCUUUUACCCGAGAUGAUAAUGACAGUAUCGGGAGAAUAAGCUCCGGCUAACUCCGUG
rnacentral:rRNA from 1 species